UACGGAGGGUGCAAACGUUGCUCGGAAUCAUUGGGCGUAAAGCGAACGUAGGCGGCUAUGUAAGUCGGGUGUGAAAGCCCUCGGCUCAACCGAGGAAGUGCAUUCGAAACUGCAUGGCUUGAGUGUCGGAGAGGAUAGCGGAAUUCCCGGUGUAGAGGUGAAAUUCGUAGAUAUCGGGAGGAACACCAGUGGCGAAGGCGGCUAUCUGGACGAACACUGACGCUGAAGUUCGAAAGCGUGGGGAGCGAACAGG
rnacentral:rRNA from 1 species